CCUACUGGAGUCAGCAGUGAGGAAUAUUGGUCAAUGGACGCAAGUCUGAACCAGCCAUGCCGCGUGCAGGAAGACGGCUCUAUGAGUUGUAAACUGCUUUUGUACGAGGGUAAACUCAGAUACGCGUAUCUUUCUGAACGUAUCCUACGAAUAAGGAUCGGCUAACUCCGUGCCAGCCGCCGCGGUAAUACGGAGGAUUCAAGCUUUAUCCGGAUUUAUUGGGUUUAAAGGGUGCGUAGGCGGUCGGAUAAGUUAGAGGUGAAAUCCCGAGGCUCACCUUCGGAAUUGCAUCUGAUACUGUUAGGCUAGAGAGUAGUUGCGGUAGGCGGAAUGUAUGGUGUAGCGGUGAAAUGCUUAGAGAUCAUACAGAACACCGAUUGCGAAGGCAGCUUACUAAGCUACGUCUGACGUUGAGGCACGAAAGCGUGGGGAGCAAACAGGAUUAGAUACCCCAGUAGUC
rnacentral:rRNA from 1 species